AAUUUAUACGGUGAACUGCGAAUGGCUCAUUAAAUCAGUUAUCGUUUAUUUGAUAGUACCUUACUACAUGGAUACCUGUGGUAAUUCUAGAGCUAAUACAUGCUAAAAACCUCGACUUCGGAAGGGGUGUAUUUAUUAGAUAAAAAACCAAUGCCCUUCGGGGCUCCUUGGUGAAUCAUAAUAACUUAACGAAUCGCAUGGCCUUGCGCCGGCGAUGGUUCAUUCAAAUUUCUGCCCUAUCAACUUUCGAUGGUAGGAUAGUGGCCUACCAUGGUGGCAACGGGUAACGGGGAAUUAGGGUGGUAGGAUAGUGGCCUACCAUGGUGGCAACGGGUAACGGGGAAUUAGGGUUCGAUUCCGGAGAGGGAGCCUGAGAAACGGCUACCACAUCCAAGGAAGGCAGCAGGCGCGCAAAUUACCCAAUCCCGACACGGGGAGGUAGUGACAAUAAAUACUGAUACGGGGCUCUUUUGGGUCUCGUAAUUGGAAUGAGUACAAUCUAAAUCCCUUAACGAGGAACAAUUGGAGGGCAAGUCUGGUGCCAGCAGCCGCGGUAAUUCCAGCUCCAAUAGCGUAUAUUAAAGUUGUUGCAGUUAAAAAGCUCGUAGUUGAACCUUGGGUCUGGCUGGCCGGUCCGCCUCACCGCGAGUACUGGUCCGGCUGGACCUUUCCUUCUGGGGAACCUCAUGGCCUUCACUGGCUGUGGGGGGAACCAGGACUUUUACUGUGAAAAAAUUAGAGUGUUCAAAGCAGGCCUUUGCUCGAAUACAUUAGCAUGGAAUAAUAGAAUAGGACGUGCGGUUCUAUUUUGUUGGUUUCUAGGACCGCCGUAAUGAUUAAUAGGGAUAGUCGGGGGCGUCAGUAUUCAGCUGUCAGAGGUGAAAUUCUUGGAUUUGCUGAAGACUAACUACUGCGAAAGCAUUCGCCAAGGAUGUUUUCAUUAAUCAGGGAACGAAAGUUAGGGGAUCGAAGACGAUCAGAUACCGUCGUAGUCUUAACCAUAAACUAUGCCGACUAGGGAUCGGGCGGUGUUUCUAUGAUGACCCGCUCGGCACCUUACGAGAAAUCAAAGUUUUUGGGUUCUGGGGGGAGUAUGGUCGCAAGGCUGAAACUUAAAGAAAUUGACGGAAGGGCACCACAAGGCGUGGAGCCUGCGGCUUAAUUUGACUCAACACGGGGAAACUCACCAGGUCCAGACAAAAUAAGGAUUGACAGAUUGAGAGCUCUUUCUUGAUCUUUUGGAUGGUGGUGCAUGGCCGUUCUUAGUUGGUGGAGUGAUUUGUCUGCUUAAUUGCGAUAACGAACGAGACCUCGGCCCUUAAAUAGCCCGGUCCGCAUUUGCGGGCCGCUGGCUCUUAGGGGACUAUCGCUCA
rnacentral:rRNA from 1 species